UGCUUCGUCGCUCCGCUCCUCGCAAUGACGAAGAAAACUCUGCCUACAGCCGCCGCAACUGAACGUCCUCGAUGAUGUGGUCACUGCCCUUCUUCAGGAUCAGCGUCGCACGCGGCCGGGUCGGCAGGGUGUUCUCUNNUCUUCCAGAUUGACAAGGUUGAUGGUGGUCCAGAGCUCAAGCGCCCGGUCGGUCGCUUCCUUGUCCGACAGCUUCGCAUAGCGAUUGAAAUAGGACCGUGGAUCGCGGAACGCCGUGUCGCGCAAUGUGAGAAAGCGCUCGACAUACCAUUCGCGCAGGAUCGGCUCCUCAGCAUCGAUAUAGACCGAGAAGUCGAAGAAAUCCGACACAUAGGGCACGGCCUUGCCGUCGCGCGGCAGGCGUCCGGUUUGCAGCACGUUGACGCCUUCCACGAUGAGAAUGUCGGGCCGGUCGAUUUCGACUCCCUCGUUGGGAAUGAUGUCGUAGGUGAGAUGCGAGUAGACCGGCGCGCGGACAGGUCGGCGACCGGCCUUGAUGUCGGACAGGAAAC
rnacentral:misc_RNA from 1 species